rnacentral:rRNA from 1 species
UAGGGAAUCUUCCGCAAUGGACGCAAGUCUGACGGAGCAACGCCGCGUGAGUGAAGAAGGAUUUCGGUUCGUAAAACUCUGUUGUUAGAGAAGAACAGCGCAUAGAGUAACUGUUAUGCGUGUGACGGUAUCUAACCAGAAAGCCACGGCUAACUACGUGCCAGCAGCCGCGGUAAUACGUAGGUGGCAAGCGUUGUCCGGAUUUAUUGGGCGUAAAGCGAGCGCAGGCGGUCAAUUAAGUCUGAUGUGAAAGCCCCCGGCUCAACCGGGGAGGGUCAUUGGAAACUGGUUAACUUGAGUGCAGAAGAGGAGAGUGGAAUUCCAUGUGUAGCGGUGAAAUGCGUAGAUAUAUGGAGGAACACCAGUGGCGAAGGCGACUCUCUGGUCUGUAACUGACGCUGAGGCUCGAAAGCGUGGGUAGCAAACAGG